ACCCACCCCAUCUCUUUCUCUCUCUCUCUCUCCUCUUCUCUUCUCCAUCGCCUCAAAACACCGAUUAAAAAACAACCCAGAUCAAGAAUUUUAGAACCCAAAACUCAAUCCAAACCCAGAUCAAGAGAGGUUUGAGUUCAUGGUCCUUUGCUCUAUGUAUGUGAGUGGGAUUGUAAGAUUGGAUUUUAUUUUGGUGGGAAGCUGGGGGUUUGAUUUUCUUUAGCUGGACAUGACGAAGUGGGGAAGCUGGGAUUUGGAUCUUUUGUGGUUGCAUGGUUUGGUGGUUGGUAAAAUCAUUGAAGGUAAGGUUUGCUUUAUCGUUUAUUGUAUAAUUUAUAUGUUAUACAGAGUUAUUCACUUCUCCGUUUUUCUCUUGCUCUCAAAUCUUAGAUUUUGAACUAUUCUUCAAGGUUGUAGGGGCUUCUUCUUCGCUUGAUUUGAUUCGAGGAGUGCAGAUGGGAGUUGUGUGAUUGGAGGGACAAGGACUAUCCAUUUGAAAAAUAAAUGAGGGCAUUAUGGGAAAGCCAAAAUUUCAUUAAAACCACCGCUUAAAAUUUUUUUUAAGCAGCUUUUGAAAGCUGCCUUCUCCCUGCUUUGGAAAAACAGCGGUCACUGACCGCAAUUUUU